UACGUAGGGGGCAAGCGCUGUCCGGAUUUAUUGGGCGUAAAGAGCGUGUAGGCGGUUAGGUAGGUCCGUUGUGAAAACUCGAGGCUCAACCUCGAGACGCCGAUGGAAACCAUCUAACUAGAGUCCGGAAGAGGAGAGUGGAAUUCCUGGUGUAGCGGUGAAAUGCGCAGAUAUCAGGAAGAACACCCGUGGCUAAGGCGGCUCUCUAGUACGGUACUGACGCUGAGACGCGAAAGCGUGGGGAGCGAACAGG
rnacentral:rRNA from 1 species